AGAGACACACAGAGAGAGAGAGAAAGAGAGAGAGAGGCAGAGACACAGGCAGGAGAGGCAGGCUCCCUGCGGGGAGCCCACUGAGAGACUAGAUCUCAGGAUCCCAAGAUCAAGACCUGAGCCAAAGGCAGAUGCUCAACCACUGAACCACCCAGGUGCCCUGAAUUCUUUUCUCAAAAGAUAUUAAGCGCCAUAGGAGAAGAAAAAUAAGAGGACUUCCAUGCUGGAAGGUAACAUUAUUUGCUUGAGGAAGAGGACUUCUGCGGAAAACAAAUGAGAAAAAAUAUAACUGCAAAUGUUGAUGAGUUGAUGCACAAAAGUAGAUGAGUAGAACCCACACACCUUCACCAUGAAGUAAUGAAGUAUCAAGGUCUUAUUUUAAGCAUGAGAAGACUACAAAGGAUGAAAAGUCAAUAAAGGAAAUCUAUCCAGCAAUUUCAUAAAAAUUUUAAAGCUACUCCUAAAUUAUUUAUCCUGCAUGUCAUGAUUUAUAAAAAUAAAAACAAUUUAUAGAGGACAGAACUAUUAUGUACCAAUAUUUAUCAUCUAUUUUCUGCAUAUUUGGAUAAAGAAGAUGUGGUUUAUGCAUACAAUGGAAUAUUCCUCAGCCAUUAGAAACGACAAAUACCCACCAUUUGCUUCAACGUGGAUGGAACUGGAGGGUAUUAUGCUGAGUGAAGUAAGUCAAUUGGAGAAGGACAAACAGUGUAUGUUCUCAUUCAUUUGUGGAAUAUGAAUAAUAGUGAAGGGGAAUAUAAGGGAAGGGAGAAGAAAUGUGUG